rfam:TPA: Bos taurus chromosome 20, whole genome shotgun sequence.
UCCCCAGUAGCUCAGAUGGUUAAGAAUUUGCCUGCAAUGCAAGAGACCCAGGUUCAAUCCCUGGGUCAGGAA